AUUGAGGAAUAUUGCACAAUGGGCGAAAGCUGAUGCAGCAACGCCGCGUGUGUGAGGAAGGUCUUCGGAUUGUAAAGCACUUUCAGUCCGGGAAGAAAAAGCCUUGGUAAUGCGAGGCCUUGACGCUACCGGAAGAAUGAAGCACCGGCUAACUCCGUGCCAGCAGCCGCGGUAAUAAUCACUAGUGCGG
rnacentral:rRNA from 1 species